GAUGAACGCUGGCGGCGUGCUUAACACAUGCAAGUCGAACGAAGCACUUUAUUUGAUUUCCUUCGGGACUGAUUAUUUUGUGACUGAGUGGCGGACGGGUGAGUAACGCGUGGGUAACCUGCCUUGUACAGGGGGAUAACAGUUGGAAACGGCUGCUAAUACCGCAUAAGCGCACAGCGUCGCAUGAUGCAGUGUGAAAAACUCCGGUGGUAUAAGAUGGACCCGCGUUGGAUUAGCUAGUUGGUGAGGUAACGGCCCACCAAGGCGACGAUCCAUAGCCGACCUGAGAGGGUGACCGGCCACAUUGGGACUGAGACACGGCCCAAACUCCUACGGGAGGCAGCAGUGGGGAAUAUUGCACAAUGGGCGAAAGCCUGAUGCAGCGACGCCGCGUGAGCGAAGAAGUAUUUCGGUAUGUAAAGCUCUAUCAGCAGGGAAGAUAAUGACGGUACCUGACGAAGAAGCACCGGCUAAAUACGUG
rnacentral:rRNA from 1 species